GUAGGGGGCAAGCGUUGUCCGGAAUCAUUGGGCGUAAAGCGCGCGUAGGCGGCUCGAUCAGUCUGCUGGGAAAGUCAAAGGCUCAACCUUUGAAUGCCGGUGGAUACUGUCGGGCUAGAGUCCGGAAGAGGCGAGUGGAAUUCCUGGUGUAGCGGUGGAAUGCGCAGAUAUCAGGAGGAACACCGAUUGCGAAGGCAGCUCGCUGGGACGUCACUGACGCUGAGACGCGAAAGCGUGGGGAGCAAACAGG
rnacentral:rRNA from 1 species